rnacentral:rRNA from 1 species
GACGAACGCUGGCGGCGUGCCUAAUACAUGCAAGUCGAACGCUUCCUACCGGUGCUUGCACCGGGAAAGAAGAGUGGCGGACGGGUGAGUAACACGUGGUAACCUACCUACAAGCGGGGGAUAACAUUCGGAAACGGAUGCUAAUACCGCAUAGAUCUUUUUGUCUCCUGGCAGCAAGAAGAAAGACGGUUUCGGCUGUCACUUGUAGGUGGACCCGCGGCGCAUUAGUUAGUUGGUGAGGUAAUGGCUCACCAAGACGAUGAUGCGUAAGCGACGUGGGAGGGUGAUAGGCCACAAGGGGAAUGAGACACGGCCCAGACUCCUACGGGAGGCAGCAGUAGGGAAUCUUCCGCAAUGGACGAAAGUCUGACGGAGCAACGCCGCGUGAGUGAAGAAGGUUUUCGGAUCGUAAAACUCUGUUGUUAGAGAAGAACAAGGAUGAGAGUAACUGCUCGUCCCUUGACGGUAUCUAACCAGAAAGCCAUGGCUAACUACGUGCCAGCCGCCGCAGUAA